rnacentral:lncRNA from 1 species
AUAACCUACUACACACCUAAGCUAUAUGUUAUGUUUUAUGUAUGUCUUUUAGGCUACAAGCCUGUACAGAAUGUUAUGACACUGUAUACUGGAGGCAACUCUAACACAAUGGAUCUAUUGCUUUCAAUUUAUAAGUUUGAUCAACUGCUGCCAAAAGGAGAGUUUUAUCUUCAGAUAAAAAUGAUUGAAUAUGAUGGUUAAAGAUUUCUUUUAUUAUAAAACUCGCUAUUUUUGAAACAGACCCUUUAUCAGGAAAAGCAGUGCUUGUGCAUUCUUCCAAAAGUAUUCUGAUAAGUUUCUCACAUACAACAUUGAGAAGAAAAACUGAUUUUGAGGAGAGCUGUAGGUUAUUGUACAUGAAUCACUCCUACUAAGAGAUCCUGAAAGAGGUCAUCAAAGCCACCAGAAACUAUUCCUGGACAGAGGAGGUUUUAUAGGUGUGGUUGGUCUCCUUACUGACGUGUCAACUACAAAUGCACAGGGUUCUGCCUGAAAUGUUUUAGUUGUUGCAGAUGUGUAGCUUCUAUAUGUAAAGUCUUCACUGCACGUGCUACAGAAACUUGAACUAUCUGAAGAGAGGAUGGAGUCAUCAGAUACUGGGAACAAGAAGACUAAGCAAUAAGUGAGAAAAGAAAUGAUGGAAUAGAUGUGAGGCUUCCACAGCAAACUCCUGUAAAACCUGCAGUUAAACCUGAGCAAGAGGAAUGUGACAUAUGUGUCUUUGCUCUUUAUUUGGAUCUGUGUGUAUGCUCUUGGAGCAGUGGCGAAGAAGCUCCAGGGUAAUCUAAAAACCAAAAUAAAUGCCUUGAGAUCUUUUCUGGGAAUGAAAAAAUACAAAGACAAGCUAAGAAGCUGGAGCAGGAAAUUGACUUCAAACUCUGCUUGGAGAAUCACCAGCUGCAAAACUGUAUGGGGCAAAUUUCUCAUAAGAGUAUAGAGGAUGUGACACUGUACAGAGUUCACACUCAUGACUCAAUGAUGAAAUGGAAACCAGGAAGACCUGAUUAUGCAUGUCUGUGAAACUCACCCAUGCCAUCUGGAAAGGAAAAAGUUAAGUUGCAUUUCUGCAAUACAUUCUCUCCCUUCCCUGAGCUGCUCCUGGAAUAUAAAGAAAGCAAGGAAAUAUUUACUGGGCCUUCAGCUUUCUGUACUACUUCGGAACAGCACUAGCAUCUAUCUCAGGGUUUAAAAUAUGGAAGUUCUUGCCUUCCUUGAAUCUUUUCUCCCAGAAAUAACAUAUUGGCUCUCUUCCCUGUGACAUGCCUCAUCUGACAUUGGCUGGCUUUCAUAUAAAACCUUUGUUUUAGCCUACUAUCAAUUCAACUUUUACAUUGACAAAACGUAAUUUUUGGUUGUCAAUGUAAAAGUUGACAUUUUUACAUUCAACUUUAAUUUAAAUGCUGAAUUUAAAUUUAAAUGCUGAAAAUUUAUUUAAACACUUAAAAUGAUAUUAGAAGAGGUAUUUUAUGUUUUUAAACAGAGAUAUAUUUCAUUUUUAUAUGCAGUCAACAGAUCACAUGUGUAUGUCUCUUAUGUGUUCCUGUGUGGGAAUAGCUUGAAUUACUACAUAAGUUCUCUGAGAAUAUUAAGUUCAUUUAGGGGAACAGGACAUAUCUAUAUGAAAAACAGAAAUAAUACUACAAACAAAAGAGAGAUCACGAGAUAACAUGUAAUUAAUUCUCAGUGAAUGACAUGUCAUGAAAUCAUCAGAAGAGAUGAGGAUAUGGGAAAAGCUUUAUGAAAGUAGUCAGAACCAUAAGGAAGAUUCGGUUUUGUUAAACAGAAAGACCUUUUUCCAUUGUGGUAUUAAGUUUAAUAUGAUUUUCAUUGUAUUAAAAUACUAAUGCAGUAAGUUGAAAAUAUAAUUGCAUUCUUUUCAUUUAAUCUAUUGUAAAAUAUAUAAUCAAAAUGAUAUACUUGUAAAAUAAUUACAUAUAUAAUAAAAUCAAUAUACCUGUAAAAGAAUCA